GAAGUCGACAUAUAUAGAGAUUUCCCAAUAGCAAGUGCUGGUGUUGUGCCUUUACUCUUGUCAGCAACUGUGGUGUAAUUAGAACAGUAAGAUUUACGCGUUUUCAACUUUGUCAAAGAUCUUUGACAAAGUUGCACGCGAUAUCCAAAAAAGCUGAGAUUGCGUCUGAAAAAUGCCAACAAACUUUAUUCAGGAAAAUCUGGCUUUUGAAAUUCGGAGAGCGGUGCCACUUCGAUCUCUGAACGAAUGGCUAUGUUGCCUCUUCU
rnacentral:lncRNA from 1 species